CAAAAACAUGUCCUUUAGUGUUUAAUUUAAGGUCUAGCCUGCCCACUGAAAUGUUUAAAUGGCCGCAGUAUUUUAACUGUGCAAAGGUAGCAUAAUCAUUAGUCUUUUAAUUGAAGGCUUGUAUGAAUGGCUGGACGAAAUAUUAACUGUUUCAUAGAAAUUGAUUUAGAAUUUUAUUUUUUAGUUAAAAAGCUAAAAUUUUUUUAAAAGACGAGAAGACCCUAUAGAUCUUUAUAUUUUAUUGAUUAUAGUUAUUUAGAUAAUUUAAAUUAUGAUUUUUUAAAGUAUUUUGUUGGGGUGACAUUAAAAUUUAAUUAACUUUUAAUAUAUUGUUACAUUGAUUUAUGAAUAAAUGAUCCAUUAUUAAUGAUUAAAAAAUUAAGUUACCUUAGGGAUAACAGCGUAAUUUUUUUAGAGAGUUCAUAUCGAUAAAAAAGAUUGCGACCUCGAUGUUGGAUUAAGAUAUAAUUUUGGGUGCAGCAAUUCAAUGAUUAAGUCUGUUCGACUUUUAAUUUCUUACAUGAUCU
rnacentral:rRNA from 1 species